rnacentral:rRNA from 1 species
AGCGAACGCUGGCGGCAGGCCUAACACAUGCAAGUCGAACGAACCUUUCGGGGUUAGUGGCGGAAGGGGGGGUAACACGGGGGGACGUGCCUUUAGGUUCGGAAUAACUCAGGGAAACAUGUGCUAAUACCGAAUGUGCACAUCGGGGGGAAGAUUUAUCGGCUUUGGGGCGGCCCGCGUCUGAUUAGGUAGUUGGUUGAGGUAGUGGCUCACCAAGGCGACGAUCAGGAGCUGGUCUGUGAGGAUGAUCAGCCACAUUGGGACUGAGACACGGCCCAAACUCCUGCGGGCGGCAGCAGUGGGUACUCUUUCGCAGUGAGCGAAAGCCUGACGCAGCCCUUCCGCGUGAAUGAUGAAGGGCUUAGGAUUGUAAAUUUCUUUCACCGGAGACGAUAUUGCCGGAACCCGGAGAAGAGGCCCCGCCUACCUUCUU